UUCUUGUUAGUACAUACGUAAGUACAAUUAAUUGCAAAUUAAUAAGAGUUUAAUUACACUAGAAU
rnacentral:tRNA from 1 species